ensembl:snRNA U1 U1 spliceosomal RNA
AUACUUACCUGGCACGGGAGACACCUUUAUCAUGAAGGAGGUUUUCCCAGGUUGAGGCUCAUCCAUUGCACUGCAGGUGUGCUGACCCCUGUGAUUUCCAUAAAUGCAGGAAACUCAAUGGGAUAAUUUCUGCUAGUGGGGGACUGUGUUCACGUUUUCCCCUG